UGCAGCUCUGCAUCUGGCACACACAGUGGAUGAUCCCACAGGUCCUUCGUGCAUUUCAUCCAGUUCUUGCUCUACAAAAGAUGACUUCUGCGGUUUGACCGUCCCUCAGCCGGCACCUUCUUCUCCCUGCUGGUGCCCACUGCGUUCUCUUAAUGGACCUUUGCUCGGCAAUCUGCACUCACUUGCCUUGCCAACCUUCGCACCUGGCACACGCAUGGGACCAUCGCGCAGGUCUUUGUACGUCAUCCACUCCUUGCUCCCCGGAAGAUGACGUCGCCACUAGACCGUUCCUCAGCAGACGGCCUUUCUUCUCCCUGCUAGCAUCCACAGCGCUCUUCUGGUGGACUUUUGCUGCGUGAUCUGCAAUAACUCGUCUUGCCAACCUCAGCAUCUGGUGCAUGCAACGGAUGAUCUUGCCGGUCCUUUGCGUAUAUCGUCUAGUCUUUCCUUCAUGAACUUCCUCGAUCAAACAUCCUUCAGACGAGUAUUUGAUCUAUCUGCUUGGUGGUCUGCAGUGACUUGGGCAACUUUUCGACCCUUAAUCCCAUUCAGCGGAUGCUAUGUCCGAACCCGCAUCGCCUUCCAUGUCCAGCCAGUGCCUAUACAGUGGGCAAGAUGAUCCUCCCAGUCCUGCCCUGUGGCCAAGGCGUCCCUUGGUCCACGACUCUCCUUCGGGUUCUCGCCUCUUGCUCGCCUUUUGUUG